rnacentral:rRNA from 1 species
UACGUAGGGUGCAAGCGUUGUCCGGAAUUAUUGGGCGUAAAGAGCUCGUAGGCGGUCUGUCGCGUCGGCUGUGAAAAACUCGGGGCUCAACCCCCGAGCCUGCAGUCGAUACGGGCAGACUAGAGUGCUGUAGGGGAGACUGGAAUUCCUGGUGUAGCGGUGAAAUGCGCAGAUAUCAGGAGGAACACCGGUGGCGAAGGCGGCCCACUGGAUCGGUACUGACGCUGAGGUGCGAAAGCGUGGGGAGCAAACAGG